GCCCGAGUGGUGAAACUGGUAGACACAAGGGACUUAAAAUCCCUCGGCUUAACGGUCGUGCCGGUUCGAUUCCGGCCUCGGGCACCA
rnacentral:tRNA from 1 species